rnacentral:lncRNA from 1 species
UUCUGUCUAGUUUUUAUAGGAAGAUAUUUCCUUUUCUACCUUUGACUUCAAAGCGGCUGAAAUCUCCACUUGCAAAUUCCACAAAAAGAGUGUUACAAGUCUGCUCUGUGUAACGGAUCGUUCAACUGUCUGAGUUGAAUACACACAACACAAGGAAGUUACUGRGAAUUCYUCUGUCUAKCCWUACAUGAAAAAAACCCGUUUCCAACGAAGGCCUCUAAGWGGYCAARWUAUCCACKUGCAGACUUUACAAACAGAGUGUUUCCAAACUGCUGAAUGAAAAGAAARGUUAAACUCUGUGAGUUGAACGCACACAUCACAGAGCAGUUUCUGAGAAUGAUUCUGUCUAGUUUUUAUACGAAGAUAUUUCCUUUUCUGCCUUUGGCCUCAAAGCGCUUGAAAUCUCCACUUGCAAAUUCCACAAAAAGAGUGUUUCAAAUCUGCUCUGUGUAAAGGAACGUUCAACUCUGUGAGUUGAAUACACACAACACAAGGAAGUUACUGAGAAUUCUUCUGUCUAGCAUAAUAUGAAGAAAUCCCGUUUCCAACGAAGGCCUCAAGGAGGUCUGAAUAUCCACUUGCAGACUUUACAAACAGAGUGUUUCCUAACUGCUCUAUGAAAAGAAAGGUUAAACUCUGUGAGUUGAACGCACACAUCACAAAGGAGUUUCUGAGAAUCAUUCUGUCUAGUUUUUAUACGAAGAUAUUUCCUAUUCUACCAUUGACCUCAAAGCGGCUGAAAUCUCCACUUGCAAAUUCCACAAAAAGAGUGUUUCAAGUCUGCUCUGUGUAAAGGAUCGUUCAACUCUGUGAGUUGAAUACACACAACACAAGGAAGUUACUGAGAAUUCUUCUGUCUAGCAGAAUAUGAAGAAAUCCCGUUUCCAACGAAGGCCACAAGAUGUCAGAAUAUCCACUUACAGACUUUACAAACAGAGUGU